UAAUACAGAGGUCCCAAGCGUUGUUCGGAUUUAUUGGGCGUAAAGGGUGCGUAGGCGGUCGCCUAAGUCAGGUGUGAAAUCUCGGGGCUCAACCUCGAAACUGCACUUGAUACUGGGUGGCUAGAGUACUGGAGAGGAGACUGGAAUUUACGGUGUAGCAGUGAAAUGCGUAGAUAUCGUAAGGAAGACCAGUGGCGAAGGCGAGUCUCUGGACAGUUACUGACGCUGAGGCACGAAGGCCAGGGGAGCAAACGGG
rnacentral:rRNA from 1 species